rnacentral:pre_miRNA from 1 species
GCAAGCGCUGGAUGCAGAGGUUUAUCGAUCGAUUCGUGCUUUCGAUGUAACUCUCUUUUUUUUUUUUCUUUAACAUCGAAAUUAAACAAAAGAAUUUCCCAGGAAUUGAUCGAUGAACCGCUGCCUCCAGCGACUUCA